GGGGGCUGAGGGUGCCGCGCUGGGAGCAGCCAGGCCGCACUGUUCGAACCUGCCAGAGACAGCCCUGGGCACACCCGGGCUCCAUGAGUAACCACCAGGCCUCCACAUACCUGUCUGACAGUGCGAGGUUACAGGACAUCUGCACAGGAAAACGACCGUGCCAAACCCACAGAGGAAAGGGCAGUGAAAGCGCCACCUUGUAUCAGCCACACAAUCUUUAUAAUGUGUAUAGAUAGAGCAGACUAUUGUGCUGAUGUAAAGAUCAGAGCUCAGUGGCAAAGGGAGGUUAUGAAAUGGCCCCCAAACUUUGACUGCACUCCAGAGAGCCUCAUCAGAGCAGUUUGAAAUAUUAUCAGCCUCAUCCAAGGGCGAUAAGGGCCCUCCUCCAUGCUGGCAUUCCCCACAGCACAGAGAGCAGAAAAGACAUCCCUGCCCUUGAGCAGCUCCUGUAUGUAAUGCAGUGUAAUUUACAAAAAACCAAACCAAACCUCAAAAACAAACAAAAAAGUCGAUUGAGCAAAGAUAUGAACCUGUGCAAGUAAUUAGCUCAAGGACAGCCUCUUCCUUUCUGGUAUCUGCCAUGAGGGCAGCAAACUUCGGCAGAGGGUCAGAGUGGACAGCAGGACAGUCAUGGCUUACGGGGUGAGGUGUGUCAUAACCUUGAUUUAGUGAGAUGAAUCAAUGCUUGCCUGUCCAAGCCUCCAGUCAAGUUAAACAUGCCAGGCCUUGCAAAGAGAAGAGCCCAGAAUACCACUCACCUGAAGUCAUCUGUGAGACACUUACCUGCAGGGAAAUAACAGCUAAGAACUGCUAUCCUAUGACAUCUCUAGGCCAAGAUGCAACAUCUCCCUCAGAAUCAGCACCCCUUUGUUUCUUGCAAAGGCAAAUGAAUAGCCAAGUCUUACAUGGGACAGACUCUGCUUCUAUUUUCUGUCAAGGCCUGUAGGCAUGUCAGUCUCCUGGCAGAGCUACUUGGAGCUGCAGACCACAUCCUGGAGUGUCUGUAUCACACUGGGUAGUGCAGGGCCAGACCAUACAGCUCUCAGCUCUGUCUUCAGCCUGGGAAUUGAGUGUUGCAAAUUGAAGACUUCUGCACUCCUACACCAUGUUACUGGAAAUUUCCCAACUCUGUGGGCAUGUCUGUGUAAGGAAGCAUAACCUGCUUGCAGAUCUACCCAUGUAUCCAUCUAAAUAAUAAGGCAACCUUACCAAUGUCUGUUUCAUUGGUGUGUCAGGAUAAAACUCGCAGGUAGCCACAACACUGAAUGUUGCUUUGAGCUGACAGGAUAACAUGCACCUUCUUUCCUAUUGUAAAGUAACAGUUCCUGUUUCUACAGCCAGCCUUUCCCUAUGCCUGUUUUGUUUAAUUUAAAGGAAACCAAACCAUCAAAUUAUAAACCCCAGAAUUUCAAACACUGCAUUAUAGGUGCAGUGUGGUCUUUAAGUGUGCAGAAUCUAGCAUCCUAGCAUCAGACUACACCAUUUACUCCUAGAAACAGGUGGCUUUCAGACCAGCUCUGAAAGGCAGACAAUCAUUAGCCUUUUCAACUUUUUGGUUCUAAUGAGGACCAGACUAUAUCCAGGUGUAACACUGAAGCUACCAGUGCCACCCUGUAGCUUUAACUGAGCCAAAGGAACUAAUUUUGUGUAAGAUUAGCAGUGCAGAUGAGAACACUCCUUCUUGUGCAUCAGAUGACAGCACAGAACCCACCCAAAAGAAGGGAGUCAAGCAUGCUAGAUCAUAUUUCAAAUGUGCUAAAGAUGUUUCAUCAUGUUUAGCUCAUGUUAAAAUCACCAAAAGAUUUCUUUGUCCUUCCUCUUAAACACAUGGAACUGGCUGCUAGCUGAGGUAUGACACUGAGGAGACACCAGGCUGGACUGAGGUGUGCAGUUCCACAGGACUGAGAAGGCUUUGCAUCCUAAUGGGAGAGUAGUCACAGGCAGGGACUUCUUUGGCACUGCUGCACCCUGAAGCAAGUGAAUUGAGACAUAACUUCAAAGAGUCAAAGCCUCUCCCACUCUUUCAGGAAAACAGAAAAGGCCAGCUGGGACCCUAGAGAACUACAGCAACAAUACAUAACAAACAGCCACUAGAAGUGUGGCUGGUAUGAGUACUGGCAAAUAGACAUUUAUUUCUGAAGCUGAACGUGACUUUUAAAAAGACAUCUCAUGAAAUGACUGAGGGAAAUUACUUGGUCUGUUAAGUACAAAGAAUUUGUGGAGAUUUAUUGGUCUCCACCUUUGUUUUCCCUUAGAUUUUAGGGGCAGAUGAAAAGUUUUAUGUACACUUGCUACUUACUCUCCUCUGUCCUGUCUCCAUCACUUAGCCUUUUCAGCAUGAAAAGCUUCAAGACUGCUGUGGUAAAUUCUAAAUUGUCCCCUUGUUUUAUCAAGGACCAUAAUAAGAUGCUUUGUUUCUUAGCAUAUACCCUUAUUUCCUUAGGGAUGUGUUGA
rnacentral:lncRNA from 1 species